GUGUGGUGGUUUCUGUCUCUCUAAGACACCAGUUCAGGCUGGUUUGGGUAGUGGCUUUUCAGCAGGGCUUGAAAGCAGUUUUGAUCCCUGUGGCAGAACUUGUCCUUAAGUAGGUAAAGGAGCUUCAAAGAAGGGCCUUCUCUAACUUUGCUGUUAGAUUGAAGUCUGAAGCAGCAUUAUUUUGGGUAUUGUUUUGUGAGCUCCAGUAGCAGUGUAGAGGUGAGAUGGAUUAGGAGGCCUAACCUGGGCUAGAUUUAGACCUGGCAUUGAGCAGGUAAAUGCUUAGUGAGUGCCAACUCAAUGCUCAAAUUUUGGAAUUUGGAUUUGAUUCUUUGGAUUUGGAUUGGAUUGGAUUUUUUACAGGAAGCUUCACUCCAAGACUGGGAUAUCUUAGUAGUAGUCCAUACUCAAGGCCCUAGGUUUGAUUCCAGAAUUGCUGAAGCCAAAACAACAACAAAACUCUUAUUCUAGUGGUGGAAAAGGAACACAUGGGAAAAAGUGGCUAAGACCUCGGUUUGCACUAGGUGAACUCUAGGGAAGGAACAUGUAAGUGUUGGAUUGCUUUAUGAGAUUGUUUGACUCAGGACUAUUUGAUUAACAACAAUAUGUGAAGACCAUAGUUUUUUUUUUUUUAAAGAUUUAUUUAUUUAUUAUAUGUAAGUACACUGUAGCUGUUUUCAGACGCACCAGAAGAGGGCAUCAGAUCUCUGUUACAGGUGGUUGUGAGCCACCAUGUGGUUGCUGGGAUUUGAACUUGGGACCUUUGGAAGAGCAGUCGGGUGCUCUUACCCCCUGAGCCAUCUCACCAGCCCCCAAGACCAUAGUUUUACAAGAGCAUUCUGUACUUUUAGAGGAACUUCACCUGCUAAUCUUUUAUUAGAGUCAAAGCUUAAUUUUGAGUAAGGUUAAUUUAAAGUCCAAAGUGUAGAAUUUGAGAAUUGAGUUGAAACAAACCAAACAAGUUUUUGUUCAUCUAUUUUCAUUCAGAGGUGGAAUGAAUUAGAGGGGCAAAGAAAUGUGCUGAGGUACAGACAGUUGGAAGUUAUUAAAAUAAGUUAUAAGAGAUAUUAAAAACAUCUGACAAUAUUGUUUAUUGACAAAGAUUGCACUCUCAGACCAGUUGCAGUGAUGCAUUUCUGUAGCCCCAGCUACCUGAGAGUCUGAGAUGGGAUAGGAUCUAUAGUCUAGACAGACAAGGUAAGUUAUCUGUCUGUUCAAAAGCAUUUCAUGUUUCAAGCUGGAAUUUAAAAAUAUCAUUAACAUGCAAUAAGCUAUUAUUUUUUGUCUUUCUGAUAAUUGAUGCCAAGUGUAUUGAAUUUGUGGUCUUCCCUUCUACUAUGGCCUGUGUACUCUGUAGCAAACAGUGAAACUGUCAAAUAUAAAGCAUAGCUGUGGGCAUUUGUGUACCACAGGGAAACAGACAAGAAACAGACUACCCUGCAGAGAUUGUGUUUAUUUCGUAACUUAAGUUUAGAAAUAAGUGGGGUCAAGGUCUCAUUACAGUGUCCAGAAGUGUAUGGUGUUGACCUGCAUUUCGUUACCUCUUCUGCUUCUGGUUAAGUGCAGUGCUGAAACUUGUUAGAUUCUGCACAUGGCAGUAAGGCAGCUCAGCUUUCUGCUGGAGGCUUUCUUGGGAUUAGACUCUUGAAUCUGAAAUUUCAUCCUGUAUUUCUUAGUGCUUUCUGGACUCUCCACUUGGUGCUCUGGUGGGUCUAAAACUAAGUGUCUUUGAGCAUUUUGUACUGAUCUGAUGAUUUCUUUGCCAUCAAAUACCUAUACUAAUUAAAGCUUUACUUCUAUUGAUUAAUGUCCCAAUAAGUCCACAAAACUUGGAUUUAUUUUCUGAUUUGUUUUGUCUUCGGAAACAUUUCCCAUUGAGCCUUUAGAAGGAAUUGCUUGCUCAUUCAUACUUUCAUUGAUUUGGCUAUCUAUAUUGAACUCGAUUCUGCACCAGACACUAAUUACACAAGGUGUGUAGAAGUGAAUACGACAGGAUUUUCUUCUUUCAGAGUAUACAGUACAGGCUCUCGUCAUUUUUUCCAUCCCUAUUGGACUAUUAUAGACAUCCUCAGUUUAUGGGGGUGAGCAUAAUGCAUACUUUG
rnacentral:lncRNA from 1 species